UCUAAAUCUCUAUUACAAUCCGAGGUGUACUUCGGGGUGUACUAAUUUAAUGCUGAAAGCAUGUAAACGGCACACCAACUGCCGCCCUGCUGCGGAGGUAGGUAGGGCGUGGCGUCUUUCUUGGAAUUGCCCUGAGUAACUCCCGUCGCCUUUGGUAUAAUUCACUGUGAAAUCUUGCGGUCAACUUGAUUUAAAUUGUGUUCUCCGGCCCUAGGGCUCCCGGGGUCAACUUGUCGGCUGGGAAGCUGUCAUUACAAAAUGUUUAAGUGUAAAGACCAUUUUUCAAGCCCCAAUAGAUUUAUGACCUUGAUUUAGAUCAUGAUCACAACACCAAUAAAUAUUUUCGUUUUUGGAGAAAAA